AACGAACGCUGGCGGCAUGCCUAACACAUGCAAGUCGAACGAGAUCUUCGGGUCUAGUGGCGCACGGGUGCGUAACGCGUGGGAAUCUGCCCUUUGGUUCGGAAUAACAGUUGGAAACGACUGCUAAUACCGGAUGAUGACGAAAGUCCAAAGAUUUGUCGCCAGAGGAUGGGCCCGCGUAGGAUUAGCUAGUUGGUGUGGUAAAGGCGCACCAAGGCGACGAUCCUUAGCUGGUCUGAGAGGAUGAUCAGCCACACUGGGACUGAUACACGGCCCAGACUCCUGCGGGAGGCAGCAGUGGGGAAUAUUGGACAAUGUGCGAAAGCCUGAUCCAGCAAUGCCGCGUGAGUGAUGAAGGCCUUAGGGUUGUAAAGCUCUUUUACCCGGGAUGAUAAUGACAGGACCGGGAGAAUAAGCUCCGGCUGACUCCGUGCCAGCCGCCGCGGUAA
rnacentral:rRNA from 1 species